rnacentral:lncRNA from 1 species
AAUUACAUUAAAAUUUAUUUAGUAUUAAUUAACUUAUGGGCAUUUCAGUAAUGGAAAAUUUAAUUAAAAGUUGGGUGCUGAGAAUAAAUUUUGAGGUAUGGAUAAUCACACCCAUUAGUUAAUAAUUAGAGAGGUACUUAGAGAUACAACUUUUGGACACCAACUUUGAAAGGCUAAGCAUUAUGUGAAAUGAAAUUUAGAUGGUUAUGGGUCAACGAAAAAGCAGCUGCAAAAAUUAAGAGUAUCAGCUUGUAGUAUUGUCUUGAUCUGGUAAAUAAUGAGCUGUGCAGGCCAACGCAGUUUAGAGCGGCGCGGUGGCUGUAUGUUGGCGUGUGUUCGGUGGAAGUUGUGCGCGUGUCGUUGCAGCCUAUCACUGCCGAGUAGACAUGUUCGGUAGAGGUUGUGACAUGUUAAUGUCUGUCAUUAAAGAUUCAGAUUGAAGGUUUCAUGCCACUCCCAUCAGAAAAUAGGUAAAAUUAAUAGACAUUUAAAAGAAAAUAGGUUUAAAAGAUUAUGAUUCUAAUUUGAGUUAAUUAUGAAUAAGAAUAGACUAUGUAUUUUAAUAAGUUAUAAUAUUUUUAUAUCUCUUUUUAAGAGAUUUACAUUAGC